AAACCAACAGGGAUUACCUCAGUAACGGCGAGUGAAGCGGUAAAAGCUCAAAUUUGAAAGCCCGCGGGCAUUGUAAUUUGAAGGUUGGGGCCAGGCACGGCAGCAAGUCCAUUGGAACAUGGCGCCACAGAGGGUGAGAGCCCCGUCAGCCACGCCACUAAUGGCCCCGUCCAAAGAGUCGAGUUGUUUGGGAAUGCAGCUCUAAGUGGGUGGUAAAUUCCAUCUAAAGCUAAAUAUUGGCGAGAGACCGAUAGCGAACAAGUACAGUGAUGGAAAGAUGAAAAGCACUUUGAAAAGAGAGUGAAACAGUACGUGAAAUUGUUGAAAGGGAAGGGCUUGCAAGCAGACACGAUUCCCUCGGGAAUUGGGCCAGCAUCGGUUGCGGGGGGCAGAAAAGGCCGCGGGAAUGUAGCUCAUUGAGUGUUAUAGCCCGACGGAGAUGUGCCCACCGGCGACCGAGGCCUGCGUUUUACACUAGGAUGCUGGCGUAAUGGUUGCAAGUCGC
rnacentral:rRNA from 1 species